CUAGUAACUGCGAGUGAAGCGGGAAAGGCUCAAAUUUAAAAUCUGAUGGUCUUUGAUCGUCCGAGUUGUAAUCUAGAGAAGCGUCUUCCGCGCCGGACCAUGCAUAAGUCUCCUGGAACGGAGCGUCAUAGAGGGUGAGAAUCCCGUCUUUGGCAUGGAACCUCCCGGGGCUUCUGUGAUGCGCUCUCGAAGAGUCGAGUUGUUUGGGAAUGCAGCUCAAAAUGGGUGGUGAACUCCAUCUAAAGCUAAACAUUGGCGAGAGACCGAUAGCGAACAAGUACCGUGAGGGAAAGAUGAAAAGCACUUUGGAAAGAGAGUGAAACAGUACGUGAAAUUGUUGAAAGGGAAACGCUUGGAGUCAGUCACGUCGACCGAGACUCAUCCAUCGCCUCUUUUGGCUUGGUGUACUUCUCGGCUGAUGGGCCAGCAUCAAUUUUGUCCCUCAGAUAAUGGCAGGGGAAAGGUGGCACCCUUAUGGGUGUGUUAUAGUCCCCUGUCGCAUGUGAAGGAUGGGAUUGAGGAACUCAGCACGCGCCUUUUGGUGUCCGGGGCUUUCGGUCCACGCUUACGUGCUUAGGAUGCUGGCAUAAUGGCCCUUAACUACCCUUCUUGAAACACGGACCAAGGAGUUCUAACAUGCCUGCAAGUGUUCGGGUGGAAAAACCCCU
rnacentral:rRNA from 1 species